AGAGUUUGAUCCUGGCUCAGGAUGAACGCUAGCGGGAGGCCUAACACAUGCAAGCCGAGCGGUAUUGUUUCUUCGGAAAUGAGAGAGCGGCGUACGGGUGCGGAACACGUGUGCAACCUGCCUUUAUCUGGGGGAUAGCCUUUCGAAAGGAAGAUUAAUACUCCAUAAUAUAUUGAACGGCAUCGUUUGAUAUUGAAAGCUCCGGCGGAUAGAGAUGGCACGCGCAAGAUUAGCUAGUUGGUGAGGUAACGGCUCACCAAGGCAAUGAUCUUUAGGGGGCCUGAGAGGGUGAUCCCCCACACUGGUACUGAGACACGGACCAGACUCCUACGGGAGGCAGCAGUGAGGAAUAUUGGUCACUGGGUGCAAGCCUGAACCAGCCAUCCCGCGUGAAGGACGACUGCCCUAUGGGUUGUAAACUUCUUUUGUAUAGGGAUAAACCUACCCUCGUGAGGGUAGCUGAAGGUACUAUACGAUAAGCACCGGCUAACUCCGUGCCAGCAGCCGCGGUAAUACGGAGGGUGCAAGCGUUAUCCGGAUUUAUUGGGUUUAAAGGGUCCGUAGGCGGACUUAUAAGUCAGUGGUGAAAGCCUGUCGCUUAACGAUAGAACUGCCAUUGAUACUGUAAGUCUUGAGUAUAUUUGAGGUAGCUGGAAUUCCCGGUGGAGCGGUGAAAUGCGUAGAUAUCGGGAGGAACACCAAUAUGGCGAAGGCACUGUACUGGGCUUUUCCUACGCUGAGAGACGAAAGCUAAAGGAGUGAUUAGGAUUAGAUACCCUAGUAAUUUUAGCCGUAAACGAUGGAAACUCACUGCCGAGCGAAAUACAACGAGCGGUGGUCAAGCUAACGCGUGAAGUUUCCCGCCUGGGGAUUACGCUUGCAAAAGUGAAACUCAAAGGAAUUGACGGGGACCCGCACAAGCGGUGGAGUAUGUGGUUUAAUUCGAUGCAACACGAAGAACCUUACCAGGGUUUGAAAUCAUUUCAAAACUCUUGAAAGAGGAGCCUCCUUCGGGAUGAAAUGACAGGUGGUGCAUGGCUGUCGUCAGCUCGUGUUGUGAAAUGUCGAGUUAAGUCUCGUAACGAGCGCAACCCAUGUCUCUUGUUGCUCACUGAGUGCUUAAGAGAGACUGCCGACCAACAUCGGAGGAAGGUGUGGAUGAUGUCAAGUCAGCAUGCCCCUUAUAUCCUGGGCUACACACGUACUACAAUGGUAAGGACAAUGAGCUGCGAUCCUGCGAGGGCUAGCCAUCUCAAAAACCUUAUCUCAGUUCGGAUUGCACUCUGCAACUCGAGUGCAUGAAGGUGGAAUCGCUAGUAAUCGCUGGUCAGCUAUACAGCGGUGAAUACGUUCCCGGGUCUUGUACACACUGCCCGUCACACCAUGGAAGUCGACUCUUCCCUAAGUCGUUACUCGAACCCAUUGGGACGAGGAUGCCGAAGGCAGGGUUGGUGACUGGGGUGAAGUCGUAACAAGGUAACC
rnacentral:rRNA from 1 species